UAGGGAAUCUUCGGCAAUGGGGGGAACCCUGACCGAGCAACGCCGCGUGAGUGAAGAAGGUUUUCGGAUCGUAAAGCUCUGUUGUUAAGGAAGAACGAGUGUGAGAAUGGAAAGUUCAUGCUGUGACGGUACUUAACCAGAAAGGGACGGCUAACUACGUGCCAGCAGCCGCGGUAAUACGUAGGUCCCGAGCGUUGUCCGGAUUUAUUGGGCGUAAAGCGAGCGCAGGCGGUUAGAAAAGUCUGAAGUGAAAGGCAGUGGCUCAACCAUUGUAGGCUUUGGAAACUGUUUAACUGGAGUGCAGAAGGGGAGAGUGGAAGUCCAUGUGUAGCGGUGAAAUGCGUAGAUAUAUGGAGGAAGAACGGUGGCGAAAGCGGCUCUCUGGUCUGUAACUGACGCUGAGGGUCGAAAGAGUGGGGAGCGAACAGG
rnacentral:rRNA from 1 species